rnacentral:rRNA from 1 species
UACGUAGGGGGCAAGCGUUGUCCGGAUUUAUUGGGCCUAAAGCAUCCGUAGCCGGUUCUACAAGUCUUCCGUUAAAUCCACCUGCUUAACAGAUGGGCUGCGGAAGAUACUAUAGAGCUAGGAGGCGGGAGAGGCAAGCGGUACUCGAUGGGUAGGGGUAAAAAUCCGUUGAUCCAUUGAAGACCACCAGUGGCGAAGGCGGCUUGCCAGAACGCGCUCGACGGUGAGGGAUGAAAGCUGGGGGAGCAAACAGG